AAAGUCUGACGGAGCAACGCCGCGUGAGUGAAGAAGGUUUUCGGAUCGUAAAACUCUGUUGUUAGGGAAGAACAAGUGCCGUUCGAAUAGGGCGGCACCUUGACGGUACCUAACCAGAAAGCCACGGCUAACUACGUGCCAGCAGCCGCGGUAAUACGUAGGUGGCAAGCGUUGUCCGGAAUUAUUGGGCGUAAAGCGCGCGCAGGUGGUUUCUUAAGUCUGAUGUGAAAGCCCACGGCUCAACCGUGGAGGGUCAUUGGAAACUGGGGAACUUGAGUGCAGAAGAGGAAAGUGGAAUUCCAAGUGUAGCGGUGAAAUGCGUAGAUAUUUGGAGGAACACCAGUGGCGAAGGCGACUUUCUGGUCUGUAACUGACACUGAGGCGCGAAAGCGUGGGGAGCAAACAG
rnacentral:rRNA from 1 species